CUUCAAUCUCACGUCUGUUUCUAGCGGAAAUGUGAGCAGCAGGACAUAAUCUACUGCCAAGUGAUCCCAUUGAUGAAUUAGCGAUGCGAUUUGGCGCGAACCGUCUAACGAUACGACCUAAAAAGAAAAAAUACAAUAUUUCAUUCACCUGGAACUGCGCUUCCUUGAACAUACAACAGCCGCAAAUUUUGGGUCCGUAUAUGUUGCAGAGUGGCUCAUUCAUCGCGUUGUACACGGUGAAGUUCGGCCCUAGCAGGCUGAAGUUCUCCUCCACGCUACCGAUGAGAUUCGCGCUUUCCACUGUAAUUUUCUGCGGAAAAUUAAACACAAAUGAGAUGGGCCAAUCUCUUAUUAAUAAAAUAAGUAUUAUAUUUCUUGUUCACAUUAUUUUGUCUAUCCUUUGCAGCUCAAAAAUUAUCAUUUUUGAGUUCUUUACAGAAAGACGGGAAUUCUGAGAAUUUAAUACAUUGAAUAAAGAAUUGUACAUUGAAUAAAGAAUUGUACAUAAUAUUUUGAUUCUUCCCAAUCAGUUAUUGUACGAAAAUUAUAAAAAUAAUGUUAUAAAACAUUCAUUUAAAUGAUUCAAUAAUUCAAAAUCUAUUACAAGCUGGAAAACUUUGUUUUAUGCUAUUAUUGCAGCAAAUGAGUGAUAUAUCCUUCACGGAAAAGUUUUUAAUCACCAUCAAGAAAAUUUCAAGGUGAAUUAAGCUCUUAUGCCGUAGAGAAUUAAAAGAUUAUUAUUAAAUUAAAAUACAUAAUUGACUCUUUCUCUUUUGCCGUCAAAAAUAUUCUUUUAUUUUUUAUUACAAACAGCUGUCUGAUAAGACUGCCAAAAAAUAGUUUGUAAUUUGUGGGAAUUACAGAGAGAAUUACUAUACCAUAAGAAAAAUGGGUCACAGGGACUCGAGCAGAACAGCAGGAUUAAUAAAUUAAUUGAGCACAUUGAGUGUUCAAUUUAUAUCACCGACAAUAUCUUAUUUUAUGAAACGACAUUAACUAUCUGAUAUUAUUGAUGACAAUUGCAUUUUUGUCAUUUUUGAAGCGCCAAACGGUUGAAACAAAUCUUAUGACAAAUUACAGAAGGAUAUUUUUAUAUUUAUUUAAAUAUUUAAAAUUAUUUAUAAUUAAAUUUAUUGAAUAUUAAAAAUUUAUUAUUUAAUUAUAUAAAAUAUUAUAGCACCAAGAUCCAGCCCCUUAAUAAUUGGCACUCCUCUACUUAUUUGUGUGAUUUACUUAAAUGUUUUAUUUUAAAUUAUUAUUGCAAAUUUUAAAAGCUCCAAUAAAAACUCAAGGAUGUCGCCUGCACGUUUUAAUCAGCACGUUCGAGUGAGUACGAGAAAGAGGAUUCGAGGAUUUGCGAUUGAGAUGCUAAUAAUCCUCCUGUAAUUAAGUUAAAUCCGGAAUAAUUACAGGAAUGUGUAAUAUCUCUGUUCUAGUACACCUUUGUCGCGUCGACUUGCCUGUCGAGAGCACGGCACGUGCUUCCAGCUCGGAUCCUUUCGGAUGAUGAAGGCGGUCUCGCCACAUUGAUCCAGGACGUUCAACACGAAGCCCUUGUACCAGCCGUAUAAUCGCGAUUGCGUUUCUUGCGGCAUCUUGGAUUCCAUGGCGAGAAAUAACGUUUCCGCGCGCGGCACUUUCACCCUGUACUGAGUACCCCUCUCCGUUCUGCCGAGUACUGUCGAACAGAAAGCUGGCGUAUGCUAUGGUGCACUAAAUACGUACGAGUACUCAAAUCAAUAACCUCCUGAAUUUCCAACUGUUCGACGCCUUCCAGAAACUGCGUGCCGGACAUAGCGUUCAUCUGUGACCUGGGUGUCG